GAUCAAGUUAUUACAGCACAUAGAGGAUACCUUGGCACUGCAAGUCGAUGAAGGACGUGAUUGGCUGCGAUAAGCCCCGGGGAACUGUCAAAAUAGUUUUGAUCCGGGGAUCUCCGAAUGGGCGAACCCACGCCGGUUCAUACCGGCGUAUCCCGCAAGGGGUGACAACCCGCUGAACUGAAACAUCUUAGUAAGCGGAGGAACAGAAAGUAAUAACGAUUCCGGUAGUAGUGGCGAGCGAACCCGGAACAGCCUAAACCCCGGCUUGCCGGGGGGUCGCGGGACCGCGAUAUGGGAUCCUGAAGAUCUAGUGGAACCAGUCUGGAAAGUCUGGCCAAAGAAGGUGACAGCCCUGUACACGAAAGAUCGGAAGGCCCUAGCGGUAUCCCAAGUACAACGGGACACGAGAAAUCUUGUUGGAAUCCGGGAGGACCAUCUCCUAAGGCUAAAUACUCUGCAGUGACCGAUAGUGAACCAGUACCGUGAGGGAAAGGUGAAAAGAACCCAGGAAUGGGAGUGAAAUAGAACUUAAAACUGUGUGCUAACAAGCAGUUGGAGCCCCGGCUUGCCGGGGUGACAGCAUGCCUAUUGAAGAAUGAGCCGUCGACUUACAGUUGCAGGCAAGCUUAGGGUGUUGAGCCUGAGGCGCAGCGAAAGCGAGUCUUAAACGGGCGACUAAGUCUGCAGUUGUAGACCCGAAACCGAUAGCGAUCUAUCCGUGGGCAGGAUGAAUCAUGAGUAACAUCAUGAGGAGGUCCGAACCGGUGGAUGUUGAAAAAUCCUCGGAUGACCUGCGGAUAGCAGUGAAAAGCUAAACGAGCUCGGAUAUAUCUGGUUCUCCUCGAAAUGGUUUUAGGGCCAGCCUCAAGUUUAUUCUUGCAGGGGUAGAGUACAAUUUGGACUAGGGUCCCGAGAGGGAUUCCAAAUCCUCGUUAACUCCGAAUACUGCAAGUUAACUGCUUGGGAGUGACAGUGCGAGGGAUAAGCUUCGUGCUGAAAAGGGAAACAGCCCAGAUCGUCAGCUAAGGUUCCUAAAUACAGGCUAAGUGGGAAAGGAAGUAGAGUCACUAAAACAGCCAGGAGGUUGGCUUAGAAGCAGCCACCCUUUAAAGAGUGCGUAACAGCUCACUGGUCGAGUGUCUUUGCGCCGAAAAUCCACGGAGCUUAAGCCUGUUACCGAAGCUACGGAUUGUCCCGGUUUACCGGGAUAGUGGUAGAGGAGCGUUCCAUUGUAGGUUGAAGUUGGAUCGUGAGAUCUGAUGGACGAAAUGGAAGUGAGAAUGACGGCAUAAGUAACGAACAGGUAGGUGGAAAUCCUACCCGCCUUAAGUCUAAGGUUUCCUGGGGAAGGUUCGUCCGCCCAGGGUUAGUCGAUAUCUAAGCUAAGGCCAGAGUAACUGGCGUAGGCGAUGGCGACACGGUUAAUAUUCCGUGACUACCUUUGAUGUUAACCAGAGGGACGCAGGAGGAUAGCCCAUAACACUUAUUGGAUUGUGGUAGCCUCUUUUUGAGGAUAUUGGGUGAGUCCACACUGCCAAGAAAAGCUUUGGGUAUUGUUGAGGGUAAUCGUACUAUAAACCGACACAGGUGGACUGGCUGAGAAGGCUAAGGCGCGCGAGAUAACUCUCUCUAAGGAACUCGGCAAAUUGGUUCCGUAACUUCGGGAGAAGGAACGCCCCGGUUAUACCGGGGCCACAGAAACCAGCUCCUUGCAACUGUUUAACAAAAACACAGCUCUCUGCUAACCCGUAAGGGGAUGUAUAGGGGGCGAUGCCUGCCCAGUGCUGGAACGUUAAGGGGACAUCUGAGAUUAUAUCAGGGAUCGAACCGAAGCGCCAGUGAACGGCGGCCGUAACUAUAACGGUCCUAAGGUAGCGAAAUUCCUUGUCGGGUAAGUUCCGACCCGCACGAAAGGCA
rnacentral:rRNA from 1 species